UCCUCUCCCAGUACAUAUACGACACACUGUCAAUGUGUUCAACAUUACGCGCAUCGACUUCGAAUAGUCUGAAUCGAAAGUAUUGAUGAAAAUUUCAUCUCUGUCAACGAGCGCUCCAACCAGCCUAGUCCACUUUGCGAUAAUAUUAUUUCUCCUGUGUCGUUCCGUAAACGGUGAGUCGCGGCCGAAUGAAACGAAUAAAUUUAACGAGCGAUUCGCAAACAAGCCCUGAAAAAUAUUAGACAGCAGCAGCAACGAGUCUCGGUUGGUUAAUCUCCUCUCGUCGUUCUCCUGGUAAAUCCGCCACUUCGAAAGGUUUCCCAGCUUUCGCGAGCCUCUCGGUAAUUCCUCGCAGUCGUCCGUCGCUCCAUACUCGUAGUCAGCCAGACAGCGUGAACCUUUAUUAACCUCUAAAUAACACAUGUGGAUUUCCCUUCGCUUCGUGAAAGUGUAACGCGCAAAGUUUAAGUAAUUUUACGUCGUUCAAAUUUACAACAGCCAAGAGAUCCCGUAUCGAGUCGUUUCUAUUAAUAUCCGAAUUCCCUUCAGGAUUCGACACACGUAUCUUUUCAGGACGACGUAGGAAAUAUUGCCAUACCCGACCGUCCUGUGGAUUAAGGGCUGCGUCUGGUGAGACCUCGUCGGAUUUCAUGGAUAAGGAUGAAAUAAAUUUAUCAAUGGAAUCUCGAAACGAAGCGUGACAAAUCCAAGUUGCACAGGAAAAAUAGCAUUGGGACGAAAGAAAAUGAAGACAAAUAACUCCUUCGUCGCUUCCUUGAAAAUCCAUCCUUCGCAAACAGCUAAAAGUGGUUAACUAAAAAUCACCACGGUCACAUAUUCUCCCUGUAAACCGAUACAGCCAAGUUAGGUAUAUCUACGAUGUCUUUGUGUGCUGAUAAAAAUAUCCUACGAUAAUAUGCAGUACAGAAAUGUCUAUAUUCACGCCGUGAGAGAACUCGAGAAAUUCUUUCGAGCAUCGGAAGUACCGACGACCCAAGUUUCUUUUCCAAGAGUUCGAUGCAUCCUGUACUAGAAAUUACGUGCUACUACCGCAUCGUAGUAAAGGUGACAUUGCCCUCCUGUUUGUGCAAUACCCCAUAUCUGUUUUUAUUUUUCUCCAAACUCGAGAGCUUACGUAACCUGUCUACCAAUACACAGGCCAUGCAUUAAUAAUGCCGCAUACGACUACCCGUGACGUCGUCUACGGCCACCGGAGGACAGUCGUUGCAUCGUGUCGGAGGCUGCUGUCGAUAUGCAAAUUAUCGUAUCGGCCUAUCGUAACGGUGACAUUUAUCCGCAAGGUGAAAUCUUGCCAGAAGACAUCGAUUCCCUCUCUAUUAUAUUUCUCGACGAUUCUCCGAGGCUUUUUCGCAUCAAAUUAAUUUUUGUUUAUAUUAUAUAAUCUUUUUUACCAAAACAUUUCGUUCGCGCAGCCAAUCGUGAAAAAAAUCAUAUUAGGGAAAAUGGAUUAAAUCGAAUGUUAAAAAUAUCAUUUCAGUAAUGUACAUUCCACGUUCUGAAUAUCGGUAUAACGAUACUCCUUAAAUCAUUAUGGUACAAUAAUUCGAGCAUUGCAACUGUGUCAAGUAACUAUAACGAUGCACAAUCAUCCGGGCAUAACUUGCGUAGCAUUAUGCGCGCAUUGAGGUGCAACUAACGUAUGUACAGUCGCAGAGCCACCUUAACGGUGGAUUACGUAAGCGACACAAUCCUUGCCAAUAUUCGUUGCUCAGGGGAUAAUCAGUAUAAUCAGGUAUGACGAUAGAAUUAAUUAAUUUUUGUCGAUAAACGCAAGAAGCUCAUCGGUGACUACUUAAAGUCAAUCAAAAUGCAAAAUUGAUCGGAGUAACAGCAAGAUUUGGUUCCUCUAAGUAACAAAAGGCGCGAUCGUAAAAUUCGAAGGAUAUCGAGUUUAAUGCUAGAAAGUAAGUGGCGCUGGCGUCGGCAGCGGUAGCGUUCUACGUUUCUCACGACUAUAAUUUAACGAGUCGUUGUGUCUCAAUACGAAACUGGAGUAUCUUUACACGACGCGUUAACAAGGCCGCCGACAAUUCACGCAUUCGCGCACACCGCCACACAAGCAUCGCCUUCGUGUAUUCUCGACGAAUCGUAAAUGACCGCGUGCGAAUUUAUAUUACACGGAGGCUGUGCGACACAGAUCGUAGUCAAGUAAGAUUCGUCUCGAGUCAUUCAUGGAUAUCAGAGGUAUCUCUCUUUCUGUUUGACUGUUUGACACGUGCGAAUAUGGCGUGCUUGAAAUUCAAAAAAAAAAAAAAGGAUUGAAAAAAAUUAUAAUGAGUCUGUAAACUUGUACACAGUUUUUUUUUAAAGCUUUAA